rnacentral:rRNA from 1 species
GUCUAUGGCCAUGCCACCCUGAACAAGCCUGAUGUCUGAUCUUGGAAGCUAAGCUGGGUUGGGCCUGGUUAGUACUUGGAUAGGAGACUACCUAGGAAGACCAGGUGCUGAAGGCU